rnacentral:rRNA from 1 species
UAUUGGUCAAUGGACGCAAGUCUGAACCAGCCAAGUCGCGUGAAGGAUGACGGCCCUACGGGUUGUAAACUUCUUUUGUCAGGGAGCAAUUGGGUCCACGUGUGGGCUUAGCGAGAGUACCUGAAGAAAAAGCAUCGGCUAACUCCGUGCCAGCAGCCGAGGUAAUACGGAGGAUGCGAGCGUUAUCCGGAUUUAUUGGGUUUAAAGGGUGCGUAGGCGGAAUAUCAAGUCAGCGGUAAAAAUUCGGGGCUCAACCCCGUCGUGCCGUUGAAACUGAUGUUCUUGAGUGGGCGAGAAGUAUGCGGAAUGCGUGGUGUAGCGGUGAAAUGCAUAGAUAUCACGCAGAACUCCGAUUGCGAAGGCAGCAUACCGGCGCCCAACUGACGCUGAAGCACGAAAGCGUGGGUAUCGAAC